UACGUAGGGGGCUAGCGUUGUCCGGAUUUAUUGGGCGUAAAGAGCGUGUAGGCGGCCAUGUAGGUCCGGUGUGAAAACUCGAGGCUUAACCUCGAGAUGUCAUCGGAAACCAUUUGGCUAGAGUCCGGAGGAGGAGAGUGGAAUUCCUGGUGUAGCGGUGAAAUGCGCAGAUAUCAGGAAGAACACCAAUGGCGAAAGCAGCUCUCUGGGACGGUACUGACGCUGAGACGCGAAAGCGUGGGGAGCGAACAGG
rnacentral:rRNA from 1 species